rnacentral:rRNA from 1 species
AGAGUUUGAUCAUGGCUCAGGAUGAACGCUGGCGGCGUGCCUAAUACAUGCAAGUCGAGCGAACAGAUGAGAAGCUUGCUUCUCUGAUGUUAGCGGCGGACGGGUGAGUAACACGUGGGUAACCUACCUAUAAGACUGGGAUAACUCCGGGAAACCGGGGCUAAUACCGGAUAAUAUUUUGAACCGCAUGGUUCAAUAGUGAAAGACGGUUUCGGCUGUCACUUAUAGAUGGACCCGCGCCGUAUUAGCUAGUUGGUAAGGUAAUGGCUUACCAAGGCGACGAUACGUAGCCGACCUGAGAGGGUGAUCGGCCACACUGGAACUGAGACACGGUCCAGACUCCUACGGGAGGCAGCAGUAGGGAAUCUUCCGCAAUGGGCGAAAGCCUGACGGAGCAACGCCGCGUGAGUGAUGAAGGUCUUCGGAUCGUAAAACUCUGUUGUUAGGGAAGAACAAAUUUGUUAGUAACUGAACAAGUCUUGACGGUACCUAACCAGAAAGCCACGGCUAACUACGUGCCAGCCGCCGCGGUAAUAC